rnacentral:rRNA from 1 species
GAGCGAGAGCUUAAGUCUCUAGCGGCGGACGGGUGAGUACACCUGGGUAACCUGCCUCAUAGAGGGGGAUAGCCUCCCGAAAGGGAGAUUAAUACCGCAUAACCUCCUGCUAGCGCAUGUGAGUAUGAUCAAAGGAGCAAUCCGCUAUGAGAUGGACCCGCGGCGCAUAAGCUAGUUGGUGAGGUAAAGGCUCACCAAUGCGAUUAUGCGUAUCCGACCUGAGAGGGUGAUCGGCCACAUUGGAACUGAGACACGGUCCAGACUCCUACGGAAGGCAUCAGUGGGGAAUAUUGCACAAUGGGCGAAAGCCUGAUGCAUCAACGCCGCGUGAGUGAUGAAGGCCUUCGGGUAGUAAAGCUCUGUCUUUUGGGACGAUAAUGACGGUAUCAAAUGAGGAAGCCACGGCUAACUACGUGCCAGCAGCCGCGGUAAU